GUAGGUGAACCUGCGGAGGGAUCAUUACAGAGAACAUCGCCCGCGAGGGUGACUCUCCAACCCUAUGUUAAUUAUACCUUUGUUGCUUUGGCGAGCCGCUCCGGCCACCGGCUUCUAGCUGGUGAGUGCUCGCCAGAGGACCCUAAACUCUGUUUAUACAUGUCGUCUGAGUACUAUAUAAUAGUUAAAACUUUCAACAACGGAUCUCUUGGUUCUG
rnacentral:misc_RNA from 1 species